GGACCCCUAGCUCAGUGGUAGAGCGUGAGAUUCCAGCUCCGAGUUGUUUCCUCAAGGUCAUCCGUUCAAUCCGGGUGGGGUUCA